UAUAAUGGGUCAGCGACUUAUAUUCUGUAGCAAGGUUAACCGUAUAGGGGAGCCGCAGGGAAACCGAGUCUUAACUGGGCGUUAAGUUGCAGGGUAUAGACCCGAAACCCGGUGAUCUAGCCAUGGGCAGGUUGAAGGUUGGGUAACACUAACUGGAGGACCGAACCGACUAAUGUUGAAAAAUUAGCGGAUGACUUGUGGCUGGGGGUGAAAGGCCAAUCAAACCGGGAGAUAGCUGGUUCUCCCCGAAAGCUAUUUAGGUAGCGCCUCGUGAACUCAUCUUCGGGGGUAGAGCACUGUUUCGGCUAGGGGGUCAUCCCGACUUACCAACCCGAUGCAAACUACGAAUACCGAAGAAUGUUAUCACGGGAGACACACGGCGGGUGCUAACGUCCGUCGUGAAGAGGGAAACAACCCAGACCGCCAGCUAAGGUCCCAAAGUCACAGUUAAGUGGGAAACGAUGUGGGAAGGCACAGACAGCCAGGAUGUUGGCUUAGAAGCAGCCAUCAUUUAAAGAAAGCGUAAUAGCUCACUGGUCGAGUCGGCCUGCGCGGAAGAUGUAACGGGGCUAAACUGUGCACCGAAGCUGCGGCAGCGACACUAUGUGUUGUUGGGUAGGGGAGCG
rnacentral:rRNA from 1 species